CUUCAACGAGCCCAGCCAGAGCGGCUCCUGGUCCGCGCCGCGCUCCUGCCCGUACGUCGCGAGCAGCGCGUGCGCCUC
rnacentral:antisense_RNA from 1 species